rnacentral:tRNA from 1 species
UCCUAGUAGCUCAGUUGGUAAAGAGUCUGCCUGCAGUGCAGGAGAACCAGGUUCAAACCCUGGGUUGGGAA